GACGUAGGGGGCCAGCGUUGCUCGGAAUUACUGGGCGUAAAGGGUUCGUAGGCGGUGCGGCAAGUCGGAAGUGAAAUCUCUGGGCUCAACCCAGAGGCUGCUCCCGAAACUGCCGUGCUUGAGUGUGGGAGAGGCCAGUGGAAUUGCAGGUGUAGCGGUGAAAUGCGUAGAUAUCUGCAGGAACACCCGUGGCGAAGGCGGCUGGCUGGACCACAACUGACGCUGAGGAACGAAAGCUAGGGGAGCAAACAGG
rnacentral:rRNA from 1 species